AUUGAACGCUGGCGGCAUGCCUUACACAUGCAAGUCGAACGGCAGCGCGGACUUCGGUCUGGUGGCGAGUGGCGAACGGGUGAGUAAUACAUCGGAACGUACCCUGUUGUGGGGGAUAACUAGUCGAAAGAUUAGCUAAUACCGCAUACGACCUGAGGGCGAAAGUGGGGGACCGCAAGGCCUCACGCAGCAGGAGCGGCCGAUGUCUGAUUAGCUAGUUGGUGGGGUAAAGGCCCACCAAGGCGACGAUCAGUAGCUGGUCUGAGAGGACGAUCAGCCACACUGGGACUGAGACACGGCCCAGACUCCUACGGGAGGCAGCAGUGGGGAAUUUUGGACAAUGGGGGCAACCCUGAUCCAGUAAUGCCGCGUGUGUGAAGAAGGCCUUCGGGUUGUAAAGCACUUUUGUCCGGAAAGAAAUCGCGCUGGUUAAUACCUGGCGUGGAUGACGGUACCGGAAGAAUAAGCACCGGCUAACUACGUGCCAGCCGCCGCAGUAA
rnacentral:rRNA from 1 species